UACAGAGGAGCCAAGCGUUGUCCGGAUUGACUGGGUGUAAAGCGCACGCAGGCGGUUGCGCGCGUGGGGUGUGAAAUCUGGCCGCUUAACGGCCAGGCGCCAUCCCAUACGGCGCGACUGGAGUGAUGCAGAGGUCGAUGGAAUUGCCGGUGUAGUGGUGAAAUGCGUAGAGAUCGGGCAGGAACACCCAGGGGGAAACCAGUCGACUGGGCAUCUACUGACGCUGAGG
rnacentral:rRNA from 1 species